CUGCCCGAAGGGAUUCACUGGAGACAAUUGCCAGAAGGUUGUGUGCACACAUCCCUGGGUGAAAAAGAACAAAGUAUGCGAAUGUAAACCCAGACUAGAUGCACCCAACUGCACAGUAGCAUGCAAUUGCCUGAAUAAUGGUCAGUGUACUGAAGACGGCACCUGCGUCUGUCCGAC